AUCGGUAUUCAAUCAAAUCAAGCUGUCAAUCAAAAAAC
rnacentral:sRNA from 1 species